UGGGGAAUAUUGCACAAUGGGCGCAAGCCUGAUGCAGCCAUGCCGCGUGUGUGAAGAAGGCCUUCGGGUUGUAAAGCACUUUCAGCGGGGAGGAAGGCGGUGAGGUUAAUAACCUCAUCGAUUGACGUUACCCGCAGAAGAAGCACCGGCUAACUCCGUGCCAGCAGCCGCGGUAAUACGGAGGGUGCAAGCGUUAAUCGGAAUUACUGGGCGUAAAGCGCACGCAGGCGGUUUGUUAAGUCAGAUGUGAAAUCCCCGGGCUCAACCUGGGAACUGCAUCUGAUACUGGCAAGCUUGAGUCUCGUAGAGGGGGGUAGAAUUCCAGGUGUAGCGGUGAAAUGCGUAGAGAUCUGGAGGAAUACCGGUGGCGAAGGCGGCCCCCUGGACAAAGACUGACGCUCAGGUGCGAAAGCGUGGGGAGCAAACAGG
rnacentral:rRNA from 1 species